GUCGAGGGGCAGCAGGGACUUCGGUCCGCUGGCGACCGGCGCACGGGUGCGUAACGCGUAUGCAACUUGCCCUGCACAGGAGGAUAACCCGUCGAAAGACGGACUAAUACUGCGUACACUCACUGGGAGGCAUCUCUUGGUGAGGAAAGAAAUUCGGUGUAGGAUAGGCAUGCGUCCCAUUAGCUAGUUGGUGAGGUAACGGCUCACCAAGGCGACGAUGGGUAGGGGAACUGAGAGGUUUAUCCCCCACACUGGUACUGAGACACGGACCAGACUCCUACGGGAGGCAGCAGUGAGGAAUAUUGGUCAAUGGGCGCGAGCCUGAACCAGCCAAGUCGCGUGAAGGAUGACUGUCUUAUGGAUUGUAAACUUCUUUUGUAUGGGAAUAACGGGGCGGACGUGUCCGCUUGUGAAUGUACCAUACGAAUAAGCAUCGGCUAACUCCGUGCCAGCAGCCGCGGUAAUACGGAGGAUGCGAGCGUUAUCCGGAUUUAUUGGGUUUAAAGGGUGCGUAGGCGGCUUGUUAAGUCAGCGGUGAAAUCUUGGGGCUUAACCCCGAAACUGCCGUUGAAACUGGCGAGCUUGAGUGUAGAUGAGGUAGGCGGAAUUCGUGGUGUAGCGGUGAAAUGCAUAGAUAUCACGAGGAACUCCGAUUGCGCAGGCAGCUUACUAAGGUACAACUGACGCUGAAGCACGAAAGCGUGGGUAUCAAACAGGAUUAGAUACCCUGG
rnacentral:rRNA from 1 species